UACGUAGGGACCAAGUGUUGUUCGGAUUUACUGGGCGUAAAGGGCGCGUAGGCGGCAAUUCAAGUCAGUUGUGAAAUCUCCGAGCUUAACUCGGAACGGUCAACUGAUACUGUUUUGCUAGAGUACAGAAAGGGCAAUCGGAAUUCCUGGUGUAGCGGUGAAAUGCGCAGAUAUCAGGAGGAACACCGGUGGCGAAGGCGGGUCUCUGGGCCGAUACUGACGCUGAGGAGCGAAAGCGUGGGGAGCAAACAGG
rnacentral:rRNA from 1 species